rnacentral:rRNA from 1 species
GAGUUUGAUCCUGGCUCAGGACGAACGCUGGCGGCGUGCCUAAUACAUGCAAGUCGAACGAACUCUGGUAUUGAUUGGUGCUUGCAUCAUGAUUUACAUUUGAGUGAGUGGCGAACUGGUGAGUAACACGUGGGAAACCUGCCCAGAAGCGGGGGAUAACACCUGGAAACAGAUGCUAAUACCGCAUAACAACUUGGACCGCAUGGUCCGAGUUUGAAAGAUGGCUUCGGCUAUCACUUUUGGAUGGUCCCGCGGCGUAUUAGCUAGAUGGUGGGGUAACGGCUCACCAUGGCAAUGAUACGUAGCCGACCUGAGAGGGUAAUCGGCCACAUUGGGACUGAGACACGGCCCAAACUCCUACGGGAGGCAGCAGUAGGGAAUCUUCCACAAUGGACGAAAGUCUGAUGGAGCAACGCCGCGUGAGUGAAGAAGGGUUUCGGCUCGUAAAACUCUGUUGUUGAAGAAGAACAUAUCUGAGAGUAACUGUUCAGGUAUUGACGGUAUUUAACCAGAAAGCCACGGCUAACUACGUGCCAGCAGCCGCGGUAAUACGUAGGUGGCAAGCGUUGUCCGGAUUUAUUGGGCGUAAAGCGAGCGCAGGCGGUUUUUUAAGUCUGAUGUGAAAGCCUUCGGCUCAACCGAAGAAGUGCAUCGGAAACUGGGAAACUUGAGUGCAGAAGAGGACAGUGGAACUCCAUGUGUAGCGGUGAAAUGCGUAGAUAUAUGGAAGAACACCAGUGGCGAAGGCGGCUGUCUGGUCUGUAACUGACGCUGAGGCUCGAAAGUAUGGGUAGCAAACAGGAUUAGAUACCCUGGUAGUCCAUACCGUAAACGAUGAAUGCUAAGUGUUGGAGGGUUUCCGCCCUUCAGUGCUGCAGCUAACGCAUUAAGCAUUCCGCCUGGGGAGUACGGCCGCAAGGCUGAAACUCAAAGGAAUUGACGGGGGCCCGCACAAGCGGUGGAGCAUGUGGUUUAAUUCGAAGCUACGCGAAGAACCUUACCAGGUCUUGACAUACUAUGCAAAUCUAAGAGAUUAGACGUUCCCUUCGGGGACAUGGAUACAGGUGGUGCAUGGUUGUCGUCAGCUCGUGUCGUGAGAUGUUGGGUUAAGUCCCGCAACGAGCGCAACCCUUAUUAUCAGUUGCCAGCAUUAAGUUGGGCACUCUGGUGAGACUGCCGGUGACAAACCGGAGGAAGGUGGGGAUGACGUCAAAUCAUCAUGCCCCUUAUGACCUGGGCUACACACGUGCUACAAUGGAUGGUACAACGAGUUGCGAACUCGCGAGAGUAAGCUAAUCUCUUAAAGCCAUUCUCAGUUCGGAUUGUAGGCUGCAACUCGCCUACAUGAAGUCGGAAUCGCUAGUAAUCGCGGAUCAGCAUGCCGCGGUGAAUACGUUCCCGGGCCUUGUACACACCGCCCGUCACACCAUGAGAGUUUGUAACACCCAAAGUCGGUGGGGUAACCUUUUAGGAACCAGCCGCCUAAGGUGGGACAGAUGAUUAGGGUG